CAUGAAGUUAUUAAGGGCGCACGGUGGAUGCCUUGGCACUAGAAGCCGAUGAAGGACGUUACUAACGACGAUAUGCUUUGGGGAGCUGUAAGUAAGCUUUGAUCCAGAGAUUUCCGAAUGGGGAAACCCAGCAUGAGUUAUGUCAUGUUAUCGAUAUGUGAAUACAUAGCAUAUCAGAAGGCACACCCGGAGAACUGAAACAUCUUAGUACCCGGAGGAAGAGAAAGAAAAUUCGAUUCCCUUAGUAGCGGCGAGCGAAACGGGAAGAGCACAAACCAACAAGCUUGCUUGUUGGGGUUGUAGGACACUCUAUACGGAGUUACAAAGGACGACAUUAGACGAAUCAUCUGGAAAGAUGAAUCAAAGAAGGUAAUAAUCCUGUAGUCGAAAAUGUUGUCUCUCUUGAGUGGAUCCUGAGUACGACGGAGCACGUGAAAUUCCGUCGGAAUCUGGGAGGACCAUCUCCUAAGGCUAAAUACUCUCUAGUGACCGAUAGUGAACCAGUACCGUGAGGGAAAGGUGAAAAGCACCCCG
rnacentral:rRNA from 1 species